rnacentral:rRNA from 1 species
AACGAACGCUGGCGGCAUGCCUAACACAUGCAAGUCGAACGAGACCUUCGGGUCUAGUGGCGCACGGGUGCGUAACGCGUGGGAACCUGCCUUUAGGUUCGGAAUAACUCAGAGAAAUUUGAGCUAAUACCGGAUAAAUGUCUUCGGACCAAAGAUUUAUCGCCUUUAGAUGGGCCCGCGUUGGAUUAGCUAGUUGGUGGGGUAAAGGCCUACCAAGGCGACGAUCCAUAGCUGGUCUGAGAGGAUGAUCAGCCACACUGGGACUGAGACACGGCCCAGACUCCUACGGGAGGCAGCAGUGGGGAAUAUUGGACGAAAUGGGCGGAAAGCCUGAUCCAGCAAUGCCGCGUGAGUGAUGAAGGCCUCGGUUGUAAGAC